GUGUCAGCCGCCGCGGUAAUACGUAGGUGGCGAGCGUUGUCCGGAGUUACUGGGUGUAAAGGGCGUGUAGGCGGGGACAUAAGUCAGGUGUGAAAUACCAGGGCUCAACCCUGGGGGUGCAUCUGAAACUAUGUUUCUUGAGUGCUGGAGAGGAAAGCGGAAUUCCCAGUGUAGCGGUGAAAUGCGUAGAGAUUGGGAGGAACACCAGUGGCGAAGGCGGCUUUCUGGACAGCAACUGACGCUGAGGCGCGAAAGCGUGGGGAGCAAACAGGAUUAGAUACCCUGGUAGUCCACGCUGUAAACGAUGGAUACUAGGUGUAGGAGGUAUCGACCCCUUCUGUGCCGGAGUUAACACAAUAAGUAUCCCACCUGGGGAGUACGGCCGCAAGGUUGAAACUCAAAUGAAUUGGCGG
rnacentral:rRNA from 1 species